rnacentral:rRNA from 1 species
AUAUUGGACAAUGGGCGAAAGCCUGAUCCAGCCAUGCCGCGUGUGUGAAGAAGGUCUUNGGAUUGNANGGCACUUUAAGUUGGGGNGAAGGGCAGUAAGUUAAUACCUUGCUGUUUUGACGUUACCGACAGAAUAAGGACCGGCUAACUUCGUGCCAGCAGCCGCUGUAAUACGAAGGGUGCAAGCGUUAAUCGUAAUUAUUGGGCGUAAAGCGUGCGUAGGUGGUUCGUUAAGUUGGAUGUGGAAGCCCCGGGCUCAACCUGGGAACUGCAUCCAAAACUGGCGAGCUAGAGUACGGUAGAGGGUGGUGGAAUUUCCUGCGUAGCGGUGAAAUGCGUAGAUAUAGGAAGGAACACCAGUGGCGAAGGCGACCACCUGGACUGAUACUGACACUGAGGUGCGAAAGCGUGGGGAGCAAACAGG